GGUGGGUGAAGAGAUAGGUGGCAGGAGGCACGCUACAGUUUAUAAAACCUCCCUUUCCCCCCUGCCCUUGCCAUGGAACACUCAGAGCACUCGUGGAGUGGCCGGGGCAGGAGAAUCAGGCCGGAUUUACCAGUGGGGAAACUGAAACACAUUCCUUACUUCGUCUUUUUUGCUUCCUGGGUGAUCCCUUGAGGGGAGGCCGUCUGCCUUUGGCUCUUCACUCUCAAGGGACUGUAGCCCGCCAGGCUCCUCUGUCCAUGGAAUCCUCCAGGCAAGAAUACUGAAGUGGGUAGCCAUUCCCUUCUCCAGAGGAUCUUCCUGACCCACUGAUUGACUCCAGGUGUCCAACAUUGUGGGCAGAUUCUUUACCAUCUGAGCCACCAGGGAAGCCCCUUUUAAAGACUCCAGUCCAGGCUGCCUCUCUGUCAUCUGAGAACCUGGCUUUGUCUUCAGUCACGCUGAUGAUUGCCUGAUCUGAUGGGAAUGCAGGCUCUUGUUACCAGGUCAGCCACGCUCAAUAAAUGCUGACGUGCCCUGGUGGCAUCUGAGCCGGCAACCUUGCACUGAACCUGAACUCCUGGAACAGACUUCUUGAAGCUGGCCGAGGGCUGUCCAGAACUCCGGAACACAUUCUGAAGAGCCCGUCAGUGGUGUGUGGACCCACGGCCUGGCAGUCCCUCAUUUCCAUUCUGCUGCCACCUUGCAAGUGACCCCUCGAUGUUCCAGGUUUUCUCUUGAGAAGCAGCGUGGAACAGCAGGAAGCAAACCAAAUGAAGAUGGGGGAUGGUAACAAUGAAGACUGUGCCCCUCCCUCCCCUGGCCACUGAUGUCCACGUCCUUAUUCCCAGAGCCUGGCUUGGUCAGUCCCCUGCCUCCAGGCAUAAUAUUUCUUCCUCAGCCCCUUCCCCUAUUAUUCUGGCAACAGUUUCGCACUGGUGCCCACCCCUGGGUACCUCAGUGCCCUUGCCCAGCAUUGCCCACAUCUCUGU
ensembl:lncRNA